GGUAACGUGCCAGAGUGGUUAAUGGGUGGGACUUGAAUUACCACAAAAUCCCAUAGCUUCGGCUUCGUAGGUUCGAAUCCUGCCGUUAUCG